UUCUGAAAGGGAUACAUCAAUUUGUAGCUAGGCAAAGUUGACUAAGACCCUAUUUAGAUACUAUCUCCGUUUCAGAUUACAAGACUUUCGCAUUGCCUAGUAGUGAAAAAACUAAAGUUUUUCGCCACUAGAUUGCGCCACGUCAUCGGAAAAACAUAGGACGUCCGAUUGCCCCUACAGAUGAUGUGAGCUGUUGGAUUCAUUGAUUGGCAAAAUCUAUUCUAGAUCCUUCGUAAAAAUUAUUUCGCAAUAAGAUCCUUCCACCUCCCUAGUCUUACCAUUUUUCAUUUUCACCCCUGCUACCUGUUGCGAGUUGCGACACCGUCUCGGGACCGGAGGCCGCCUCCCCUUCCCUGGUCGCUGCGCCGCGCCACUCCCGGGAGGCGGAGGCGCCGGAUCGUGUGCUCCGCGUUUCCGCUCGCUUCCUCCACUCCCAUCUCCAAAGCCGCUAUGUCUCCUCUCAAUCUCCACCACAAUCAAUGGGGACCGGAGAGGUAAGAAGAAGAGCCACCGGCAUCGAGAAGGACGAGGAUAGGUGCAAGGGGACAGGCCGGUCGAAGACGCCUGCGGUGGGAAGCAAAGGAAUCCAUACCUCCCCUUUCUCCCCUUCCACCUCCCCCUGCCCUAGCCACACCCCAUCCUAUUCCUCCUCAUUCCCAUCCCCAACACUACUGCGGCAUCACCUCCUCCUACCUGUUCUGGAUCCGGCGAUGGUGGGGCUGAUUCGGAUUUGGGAGGACCUACUCUGCAGCGCCACUUCUCAUCCUCCUCCAAUAACGAUGGCCAAGGGAAAUACAAAAAGUCCCAACAUCGACAGCUGUGGUAAGUAUCUAAACUUCUUGCUCCUCACGGUGUUCAUGUUGGUAAAGCAUGUACGAUGUAUAGGAACCACGGCUUCACCUAGUGCUAACAAGUUGAUUUAGACUAAAAAGGUGAUAAAUAAGUUCUAUAAUGGAGUCCUUAAUUAAGCCUCUCAUGUAAUUUCAGUUUUUGGGUGGGCAAAUUUCAUUUAAGAGCACUGUAAAAAGAAUGCAUCCUAUCAAAAUGUAAGUUCAUGUUCAUUAAUUAUAAAUAGUUACAUACAAUUAUUUCAAUAGUUAUCAAAGAUAUGUGUGAUAAUAACAAAUGAAUUUAUAAGUGGAUUGAAAUAGUAUUUUCCUCCGUAUGCCCAACGUCCAACUCACUGAAGCAAUUCGAUGGCAGUGGUUCACCGGGAUAUAACUAAUACUAAUAAUUUCCCAAAAAAAAAAGUAAGGAGUAGUACUAGCUAUUCACGCAUUUAGAAAAAAGAAAGGGUUGCUCCUAACAUUAUAUAAAUGACUGGUGUAUUGCUAUAUUUGUGUAUCUAUAUAUGUGUGUCUAACGAGCAAAGCUGCAGCAAGCAGGGGAGUGGAAACCUAUAAAAGAUAAUUCUACAAUGUGAUUUGCUUAAGCUUAAAUGAAAUUUGACUAUUAAAGAUCAAAUGUAUUUGACUCUAAGUACCCAUUUAGCUUCCGGUUUGCUGUGAAGGGUGUAUUCACUGAUUAAGAAUGAAUUUUGAUAAUUUAUGAAGCAAAUAAUAAAGCAAUCAAAUAUUGUAUUAUCAGGUAUUUCUUUUUCUUGAUGUUAUGAGUUUUAAAGCAGGAAUUGAAAUGACUGUAAUAUUGAUUUGCGUUAUUGGUCUUUACCUGAAGUGACAAUUAUGAAAUAAACGUCCUUUCAAAAUUUGUGGUUUCAUUUUUUAUUCAACUUGCUACCAUGCAUCUAAGGUAUGAAUCAUGAACAUUAGUACUUCUUGAAUGGUAAAAACUGGAUACGAGUUGUUGAGGAAUAAUAUUGUUUGAUAGAACAAGAAAUUUAUUGUUGUUGACUGUGUCAUCAAAUCAAGUCCUUUUUAUUUUCUUCGCACGAAUUCUAUUAAGAAAGCAUUUCAAUUGUACCUCCAAAGAUAUUUUUCAAAAUUUCUAGAAACCACCCAAACUUUUGUGCAUAUACCCAUUUAAUCAAAUUGGAAUGUUGUAUAUACCCAUUUAACCAAAUUGGAAUGUAUCUACUCAACCUUUUGUUUUUUAGCUAUGAUUCCACUGGUUUAGCAGAUGACAUCUGAACAUAUGUCCCCAAAUAAAUGGUAUUGGGAUCAUCUUUUUCACAGGUUAGAUACUAACCAUUUCAUACAGAGUGUUUUGGCUUCACUUCCCCCCAAAUAUAUACUUUGAAUCCUAUGAUAAAAACACCCCCAAAUGAUGGUACAGACGCAACAGGUGCAAUUAUCUCCCCAAAGGUAAAACCGUAAAAGUAUCUCCUCUGUUAAACAAGGAAGCUGGCACCAUCCAAACCAGGUAAUAUUUUUCUCGGUACUAAAAUGUACAAAUAAUCUCAGAACUUUAGAGACACUGAUUCUAACUUUCUGAGAUGUGUUCAACCAUGUGGAUUGCUUAUCAACUUCAAACUUAUAAUGCUUAGUACAGUAUCAUACUAUGUAACAACCUGGAAGUGAAAUUCUACCUACAUUUAGGUUGCGUCCUGUGCAAGCAUGAUAAUUAUUAUUAUUAGUCAACUUUAGAAAGCACCUACUUUAAAUUUAAUAUUUUGUUGGCCCAAUGGUCUAAUGGUGCCAUUAUAAGUUUCAUGAUAAACUAAUGGUUGAUUUUACGUAGAUUCAGGAUUUAACUACUCCCUCCGUUUCAGGUUAUAAGACUUUCUAGUAUUGCCCACAUUCAUAUAUAUGUUAGUGAAUCUAGACAUAUAUAUGAAUGUGGGCAAUGCUAGAAAGUUUAAUAAUAUGAAACGGAGGAAGUAAUUGUUUGUCCAGUCCCUUUCAAAGUCAUAAAUUAAAUUAUUUUGUAUUUUAUGAGAAAAUAUUGUGGAAUAAGCAUGUAGUAGCCACUGGAUGAGAUGACUGAACUUUGGAAACCAAAAGAUCUUCUACAUGGUACUUGAACCUUACUUGCAAAUAUAGGUUAGUUCUAACUAACUAUUUACCAAGUCCUAUGUUUUUUUAAGUAAAAUAAAUUUAGAGUUAAUCCCAUUAUCAUAUUAUGGUCUAUGUAUAAAGGGCUUAUAUGUAUACUGGGCUAAGUCUUUUGCCCAGCCAGCUCGCCUAUAGAAACGGCGAAAGGAACCAGAAGGUUUGCUCCUAUGUUGCGGUUGUGAUUAAUGCCAAGCCCUUUGCACCUGCCAUGUUCCAGGUUGUGAUUUCAUAGAAACUAAAAGGUUUCCCAUAAAUUUUGGGAUGCAUGGAUCAUAUUGUACUCUUAUCCGGUUAUGAGAUGCAGAUCUAACAAUAGUGUUGUGGCAAGCAUGGAACAAGAUGGAGCCUGAAGCAAAAUUCCCAAAACACCUGUUGAAGUCAAUUUCAGGGCCAUUUUUUUAUGCGAACUUGGAGCAGGCUUCUAAAGAUGCGAGACAUGAAAAUACAGGAAACGUUGGAUACCCUGAUUGAGGGAAAGGAUAAUUUCAUGAUAUUUUUAUAUGUCUAAUAAAAACAUGGUUCAUCAUAUGAUAUAUUACGACCCAUAAAUAUAGAGCUUUUUUACAGGUA